rnacentral:rRNA from 1 species
UACGUAGGUGGCGAGCGUUGUCCGGAUUUAUUGGGCGUAAAGCGCGCGCAGGCGGUCGCGUAAGUCUGCUGUGAAAUCUCCCUGGCUCAACCGGGAGGGGGCGGGCGGAGACUGCGGGACUGGAGGGACCCUAGAGGCCGGUGGAAUUUCCGGUGUAGUGGUGAAUGCGUAGAGAUCGGGAGGAACACCUGUGGCGAAGGCGGCCGGCUGGGGGUGCCCUGAGCUG